UACAGAGGUCCCGAGCGUUGUUCGGAUUCACUGGGCGUAAAGGGUGCGUAGGUGGUGAGGUAAGUCGGAUGUGAAAUCUCCAGGCUCAACCUGGAAACUGCAUUGGAAACUACCUUGCUGGAGGAUUUGAGGGGGGAUUGGAAUACUUGGUGUAGCAGUGAAAUGCGUAGAUAUCAAGUGGAACACCAGUGGCGAAGGCGAGUCCCUGGACAAUUCCUGACACUGAGGCACGAAAGCUAGGGGAGCAAACAGG
rnacentral:rRNA from 1 species